GCUGAAGUCACAAAGUGUUGGGAGGGGCAGGUGAACAUCGGGGGACUGCUGUGAUAUGAGUCUCAGAGGGAAGAAAGCGUAGACGGGGAAGGGGUGCUAAGUGUGGCCAGGGCCCAACCUGUCUCCAUCUUAAGAUCCAGAGGCCUGGCCAUAUCAAAAACAAGGGCAAGAAUGACAUCUGAACAGCAGAGAAAUCUCCCUCUUUCCAGCACAUCCAUUGAAGAGGCAAUAAAAUCACAGGAAAGGGAGUUGACAAUCACUGAAACCCUGUGGGACCAGGUGCUAACAGCUUUUAAAGGCAUCCAAAAGGAGCUUCAGGAAGAUGCUCGGAUUCGAGGCAUGAGCAACCGUUCUGUGCCAUCUGUGCCACCUGUACCCCCCAGGACAGGGUAAGCCCUGCCUAAACCAAGAACUGGAAAAGAAACUUCAAGCCUCCAGAUCUCUCUACAGCCCCAAAGAAAGAUCACAGCUCAACUCUGGAGAACAGCCAUCAGAAGCCAUUCCUACAACCCGAAAUGUUAACUCGAUGACCACCAGCCUUCUACCCUAGACUCUAACUUUGUCAUCAAGGAAGUAUUCCUGUGUUUCUUCCAGGGCUCAGCUCGGUUGCCUGAGAAACAACAGUUAUGAGACAGACAUCCUCAGCGCCAGAGUCCACAGCAGCAACUGGAAACUUGGAAAUCAACCAAGAGCCAGGCACAUCCAAACUGCCAAGCAAAGAACCCAGCAGAUAAACACUGGAGGAAAUAAAUGUGAUGUAAACAAA